UAAAGAAAUAAUUAAAAAUUUAGCUUCUAACUAAAUUAUUAAGCAUUAAAAUGUUUUUAUUUCU
rnacentral:tRNA from 1 species